AUGCCCUGGUGGAUGCAGCUGGCUACCAUGGGGAUGCCAAAUGUGAGGUACACCCCGGAGCGCAACAUGAGCCCCAACGCCAAGCUGACCCUGUUCUUCGAGGGUGUUCUCGGAGCCCUGGAGCAUCUUCACUCCAAUCGGGCGGCCUCUCUGGCCGAUGAGGCCCGGAGACUUUGCCGGGGUGCCAUGACCAAGGUCCUCACCAAGGUGGCGAACUGGAAUCCCAACCUCGACUUCAACGCCGCGCUGGAGAGCUUGCCGGAGGAUGCGGACCUCGCGGUGCUCAAGGAGCAUAUCGAGCCCAUCAUCAGCCGUAUCGACGGAAUCCAGAGGAUAGAGGGCCAGCGCCGGGACUGGGCACCCCGUUUCUCACCGCCGCUGCAGGUUCAUGACCAAGACAAUUUUUAUCUUUAG
rnacentral:rRNA from 1 species